rnacentral:lncRNA from 1 species
UCCCAACUCUCAAAUCAUGCAUAAACUUGUUCUAAAACAUGCAUACACACCAUACAUUACACCUAGGGGUCUCAAACUAUCAUAUACCCCAACUACAACACUUCAAACACACAAAAAUCAACAUACAUUGUUCAUCAAAACAUCAAAACCCAUAAACUCAUCAACAAGCCUAAACAUGCAUCUCUACCCAUAAAACAACUUAAUGCUUGUUUAAAACACAUAACAAGGGUGGAUCCGAGCUUACCUCUUGAAGAAACGAGAGGAAAGGCGAUCCUAGCUUGGAGAUGGAGAGAUUGAGCUCUUUGAACCUCCAAGUACCCAAAACUUGCUCUUUACUCACAGAUCUACAAAAUAGAAGUUAAAACCCGUGAAAAUCAUGGAAGAUCUAAGGAAAACACUCAAGAUCGAGGGAGGGGUGGCGGAGACUCACCUUGGCCGACAACGGGGGAGAAAAAGCUCGCCCGUGCGGACCUAAAGGACCCUUUUAUAGGUGGCUGGCCA